UACGGAGGGUGCAAGCGUUGUUCGGAAUUACUGGGCGUAAAGCGCGUGUAGGCGGCCGAUUAAGUCUGGUGUGAAAGCCCGGGGCUCACCCCCGGAAGUGCGCUGGAAACUGGUCGGCUAGAGUAUGGGAGAGGAAAGUGGAAUUCCUGGUGUAGCGGUGAAAUGCGCAGAUAUCAGGAAGAACACCCGUGGCGAAGGCGGUUCUCUGGGACGGUACUGACGCUGAGACGCGAAAGCGUGGGGAGCGAACAGG
rnacentral:rRNA from 1 species